UUCUUGAUUCCAAGAUUAUGAACAGACCUGGGGUUUCUAGAAUUUCAAUAGAUCAUCAUGAAUUAGUUAUUUAAAUGCUCCAAAUCAGAUUAUCAUGUUAUUGCUCAGCUUAUUGCAUGAAUUUCAGAACCCUAGCUAUGUAUUUCUUUAGUUCUUGAAUUACACAUGUUAGGUCAGAUAUCUCAGUUAUUCAGUUAUACAUGCC
rnacentral:lncRNA from 1 species